ACGCUGGCGGCAUGCUUUACACAUGCAAGUCGGACGGCAGCACAGAGAAGCUUGCUUCUUGGGUGGCGAGUGGCGAACGGGUGAGUAACAUAUCGGAACGUACCGAGCAGUGGGGGAUAACUAAUCGAAAGAUUAGCUAAUACCGCAUAUAUUCUGAGGAAGAAAGCAGGGGACCAUUUGGCCUUGCGCUGUUUGAGCGGCCGAUAUCUGAUUAGCUAGUUGGUGGGGUAAAGGCCUACCAAGGCGACGAUCAGUAGCGGGUCUGAGAGGAUGAUCCGCCACACUGGGACUGAGACACGGCCCAGACUCCUACGGGAGGCAGCAGUGGGGAAUUUUGGACAAUGGGCGCAAGCCUGAUCCAGCCAUGCCGCGUGUCUGAAGAAGGCCUUCGGGUUGUAAAGGACUUUUGUCAGGGAAGAAAAGGGCGGGGUUAAUACCCCUGUCUGAUGACGGUACCUGAAGAAUAAGCACCGGCUAACUACGUGCCAGCAGCCGCGGUAAUACGUAGGGUGCGAGCGUUAAUCGGAAUUACUGGGCGUAAAGCGGGCGCAGACGGUUACUUAAGCAGGAUGUGAAAUCCCCGGGCUCAACCUGGGAACUGCGUUCUGAACUGGGUGACUAGAGUGUGUCAGAGGGAGGUAGAAUUCCACGUGUAGCAGUGAAAUGCGUAGAGAUGUGGAGGAAUACCGAUGGCGAAGGCAGCCUCCUGGGAUAACACUGACGUUCAUGCCCGAAAGCGUGGGUAGCAAACAGGAUUAGAUACCCUGGUAGUCCACGCCCUAAACGAUGUCGAUUAGCUGUUGGGCAGCAUGACUGCUUAGUAGCGAAGCUAACGCGUGAAAUCGACCGCCUGGGGAGUACGGUCGCAAGAUUAAAACUCAAAGGAAUUGACGGGGACCCGCACAAGCGGUGGAUGAUGUGGAU
rnacentral:rRNA from 1 species